rnacentral:rRNA from 1 species
AUUGAACGCUGGCGGCAGGCCUAACACAUGCAAGUCGAGCGGAGCGGCGGACGGGUGAGUAAUGCCUAGGACUCUGCCUGGUAGUGGGGGACAACGUAAGGAAACGGGCGCUAAUACCGCAUACUUCCAGAUGCGUUUAGGUCGGCUUAGCGAGUUGGUGGGGGAAAGGCCUACCAAGGCGACGAUCCGUAACUGGUCUGAGAGGAUGAUCAGUCACACUGGAACUGAGACACGGUCCAGACUCCUACGGGAGGCAGCAGUGGGGAAUAUUGGACAAUGGGCGAAAGCCUGAUCCAGCCAUGCCGCGUGUGUGAAGAAGGUCUUCGGAUUGUAAAGCACUUUAAGUUGGGAGGCGUUACCGACAGAGUAAGCACCGGCUAACGUCGUGCCAGCAGCCGCGGUAAUUC